AGAAAACAUACCUGACUCAUCGACAGAUUGGACACCUACAAACCAUCACACGAUAAUAAAAACAGAUCUCGGGGUGUUAUCUUUCACAGCCAUUUGCAAACAGGACAAGGACAGCCUUAAGGAAAGCUGAGGAAAGCUGUUCUCAGAGACAAGACUAUUCCUCCACAGACUAGUGUUGUGUUUGUACUAAACCCAGAGCAGACCUGAAUGAAUCGACACAACGACCCAGCUCAUAUAAUAAUACUAUAGACUGCAUUUAAAAAGCUUUGCACAGGCUGUUUAAUGCUGAUCAUGUUCUGCGUGUGUCUUUACACAUAAACUACAUGAUGUAAAUAGCCUAGAAAUGAAAAACACAGGAACUCAUAGUGAAUCCAGCUGCAAUAGCAUGAUAAAUUCAUUGUGAUGUUGUUAUAAUUAUUAUUAAUUUUGAUUAAUAUCAAGUUUUUGAGGAGAGCAUCUCAUAUUCUGGUCUGUGAUAAACAUAACUAUACUUUGAGAUUUUGUGGUACAAGGUAAACCUCACACCCAAACAUUCAUAUGUGUUAACAUACAUGGAAAAAUAAAUCACUGUUUCAAAAUG